AUUGAACGCUGGCGGCAUGCCUUACACAUGCAAGUCGAACGGUAACAGGUUAAGCUGACGAGUGGCGAACGGGUGAGUAAUGUAUCGGAACGUGCCCAGUCGUGGGGGAUAACUGCUCGAAAGAGCAGCUAAUACCGCAUACGACCUGAGGGUGAAAGCGGGGGAUCGCAAGACCUCGCGCGAUUGGAGCGGCCGAUAUCAGAUUAGGUAGUUGGUGGGGUAAAGGCCUACCAAGCCGACGAUCUGUAGCUGGUCUGAGAGGACGACCAGCCACACUGGGACUGAGACACGGCCCAGACUCCUACGGGAGGCAGCAGUGGGGAAUUUUGGACAAUGGACGCAAGUCUGAUCCAGCCAUGCCGCGUGCGGGAAGAAGGCCUUCGGGCUGUGAACCGCUUUUGUCAGGGAAGAAACGCUCUGGGUUAAUACCUCGGGGUAAUGACGGUACCUGAAGAAUAAGCACCGGCUAACUACGUGCCAGCCGCCGCGGUAA
rnacentral:rRNA from 1 species